rnacentral:tRNA from 1 species
GGAGGGUUGGGUGAGUGGCUGAAACCACCAGUUUGCUAAACUGGCGUACCUUUAACGGGGUACCGCGAGUUCGAAUCUCGCACCCUCCGCCA